rnacentral:rRNA from 1 species
CCUACGGGAGGCAGCAGUGGGGAAUAUUGGACAAUGGGGGGAACCCUGAUCCAGCCAUGCCGCGUGUGUGAAGAAGGCCCUCGGGUUGUAAAGCACUUUCAGUGAGGAAGAACGCCUGGUGGUUAAUACCCAUCAGGAAAGACAUCACUCACAGAAGAAGCACCGGCUAACUCCGUGCCAGCAGCCGCGGUAAUACGGAGGGUGCGAGCGUUAAUCGGAAUUACUGGGCGUAAAGCGCGCGUAGGUGGCUUGAUAAGCCGGUUGUGAAAGCCCCGGGCUCAACCUGGGAACGGCAUCCGGAACUGUCAAGCUAGAGUGCAGGAGAGGAAGGUAGAAUUCCCGGUGUAGCGGUGAAAUGCGUAGAGAUCGGGAGGAAUACCAGUGGCGAAGGCGGACUUCUGGACUGACACUGACACUGAGGUGCGAAAGCGUGGGUAGCAAACAGGAUUAGAUACCCUUGUAGUC